AGUGAGCGAUUAUAAGCGCGUCUGUGGGCCCGCUCUGAGCCGUGUGGCCGUGCCGACGGACUUCUACCACAUGGUGUCGCUGCGGCUCUGCCUUAGAAGGCUCCCCGAGGCCCAGGAGCCGGGCAGGGCCGGCCACAUGACCAGCCUCCGACUGCGAGGUCAUCCGCAGCCUGUGGGGCAGCGUAGGGCUAUCCGUAGCUUUCAGCCUUUCCUGGACCUACCAGGACAAGGAGAGCAGGGAGAGGUGCGAAGGAGGUCUGGAGAGGAGGAGGCUUGGGACAGUGCAGAGUCCUGGCAGUGAGGGUGACCGCUGACCGCUUUCAGGAGGGACAGGGACUACUGCCGGGGAAUAAUGGGAUUUAUCUCCCAUGCCCGAAGAGGGGAGAGCUGCUCCCCCACGGCGUGAGUAGGCUGGAAGGGGUUCGGGCAGAGAAGAGGUAUUUUUUCUGUCCUCCAGGCAUGGGCUGGAAGAGCCAGGAGCAGAGGAGAGUCGGGAUGCUGAGCACCCAGCGGGAGAGGAGACGGCCCGGCCAUAACCCACCUGCUGAGCACACAACAUCCUCUGUGGGUGCCCCCCCCACUCUGCCUGCAGCUGCCAUUUGGGAAAAUGACUCUUGACUCUUUCACGGUUUGUUUUGUGGGUCAGGACUCAGCCCUUUCGGAUCCUUAUCGAAAGCAACAUCACACUUGGGCCCAGGGGUUCAAGACCAGCCUGAGCAACAGGACAAACCCCCUUCUCUAUCAAAAAAAAAAAAAAAAAAAACCAAACAAAAUUUAGCCGGGCAUGAUGGCACACACCUGUAGUCCCAGCUACUUGGGAAGCCGGGAUGGGAGGAUGGCCUGCACCCAAGAGGUCAAGGCUGAGGUGAGCUCUGUUCCUGCCACUGCACUCCAGUGUAGAUGACAGAGUGAGACCCUGUCUCAAAAAAAAAGGCAACAUCACCAUCAACCCACUUUUAAGUUUUCACAGCCCACUCCAGCAAUGUUGAAGUCGGAUCAUAGAAUGGUGUCUGCACUCAAAGGCAGAGUGAGCAGCUCCUCAAAGGAUCCUCAGCCCCUUACCAUGGAGGAGUUCAUCAAAGCGCCUCUGAGAGCCGAUCGUGAUGGCGCAAGACAGUGAGUGAAGGAGAUCUUCAGGGCGAGUGAAAGGAACCCUCUGUAAAGAACCACACCUGAGGGGCCUCAUUUGCACCUGGACCUGAGUUGGAGGCUGAGGCCCUGGAUUUGGAGCCUGAGCCUGAAGCCUUCGUGGCUGAUACCAGUUGCUGGUCGCUCCAAGAGGGUAGCUGGACUUCUUCCAUGGCUGGUGCCCAGGACUCCCAGAAGAACUGGGAGCUCUGUGGACCUGUAGAGAUGGUGUGACUGCCUGAGACUCCCCCACGAGGACCCAUCUGUGUCUGCUGGAGAGCGCUGUCUCACUGCCUAUCUCAUUGCCUUGUGCACGGGACCACCUGGUCCCUGGAUCCUCAAACUCAUGGGCCAGCUAGUGCGAGGGAGGUUAGGAGAAGUGGAGGCAGAGGGAGACGGAUCCGCAGAGCAAGGAGAGGUGUAGGGGGUGCCAUUGGAGCCGAGCGUUGAGCACAUUUUUUGGGGAGACACUCUGAAGCCCUCCCACAUUGCCAUCCACCCAGCGGACGUGGCAGCUGUGGCCUGUUCCAGAAGCCCAGGGCUGUGUGGCAGCUCGGCCUGGCCUUGCACCCUCCCUCCUCCCUCCUCCCACUCCAGUUGGCUGUUUCUCUCACUAUACACAGCCGUGGGCUGGGGGCUGUGUGAUGGGAAAUCUUUUUUUUUGUUUUGUUUUUGUUUUUGGUCUUUGGUAAAAAGUACUCUGUCUUUUGGGCUGAGGUUGUUUAAAGGUGAACUGUGAAAAAUGAUCUGCCAUGCUUCAAAUCUCAGCUCUGCCCCGUUUCCGAACUGCUCUGGGGAGAGGAGGGGUGGGCUUUUUGCCAGAGACUCAGCCCUGUCAUUGUGGCCAGGCCACCCAGCCCACCUCGGGUCAGUCAAUGGCAGCAUUGGGGCGUGCGUGUUCAUGUGUGUGUUUGUAAGCGUGUGCUUGUGUAUAUAUGUGUGUCCUUUGCAUGUGUAUCUGUGGUUAUACUUGUGUGCCUGUCUUUGUGUGUUUACAUGUGUAUCUUGUGUGUACACACACAUUUAUGUCUGGGUACACGCUUACAUUUGUGCGUGUGUGUUUCCAUGUGUUCGUGUGUCUGUGUGUGUGUGUUGUGCCUGUGCAUGUGUGUGUGGGCGCGGGAGGUGGAUGGCGGAACGAGCACCAGGCAUGAAGGGGCCCAGGGCAGAGUCUCAGGCCUUGACCCAGGUUUCCAAAUGGCCACAGAUGUGACCCUUCACCCUUCCCUGCGGCUGCUGAGGUCAUUGCCCAGAGAACUUUCCUUUGGAAGCAAGUGGGCCUUGCUGCCUGGGGAGGGAGAAAAGCAAAGCGGAUGAUCCUCACCCUGCGGAGCCUGGAGCCAGUGGGCCCUUGUUUAAUUCCGAAGGAAUGUGCGGAGCAGGCCCCGGCCUGACUGGGAGCCUCGAGGCACCCCCCCGCCGCUGCAGAUGCCUCCGCAGGGGCGGCGUCGGGGUGGGAGCUGGGCCGGCUGGGGACACACAGCAUCCAGGGAGAGACACUCACACAAACUGUGUGGCUGGAGUAGGCUGGGGCGAGGGAGGCCCACGGCACCUUCCUCCGGGAAGAGGAGAUAGCCCUGGGAAGCCGAAUGUAGCCGAGGAGAGCAGAGUCCCCAGCAGGAGACGGGGUGUCACGGGAGGAAAAGCGCAGAGUAGGUGUGGAGGCAGCGAGGAGGUUCCCUGGGGGCUAUGUCUCCAGGGAAGGCCUCUUAGAAGUGGUGGAAGUUUAGCUGUGCCCUGUAGGGUGGGGAGGAGCUGGAGGAAAAGAGGACGUUUGGGAGAAGGAAGAAAGAAGAGCUCAGGAAAGUUUUGCUAAAGAGGCUGAGCUGCAAAAGAGCAAAGCCUCUAUGGAAUGACGUUGUGGGCGCCAGUCCAGGGAGAGCUUGGGAAGGAAAAAGAGGCGGCUACUGCAGGAGAAUCAGCUCCGGUUCAUCCCGAGGGCGUUAGUGCCAGCCAGAGCUCAUCCUUAGGCCAGAGGUCUCUUGAAGAUUCUCGAAGGGGAGUUGCCUGAUGAAGCAGGCGUUUUAGGACGAGAGGCUGGCAGCAUGAUCAGGGGAUCAUGGCAGGUGGGAGGGAGGCCCUGGGUGUGGAAGAGACUGGAGGCAGGGGUGCUGGGGAGAGAGGCUUCCAGUGGAGAGAUGGCUGAGGCCUGGGGGGUCAAGCAGCCAGGACCGAAUCCCUUUCACAUUUGGGACGUUCUUUUUUUUUUUUUUUUUUGAGACGGAGUUUCGCUCUUUUCACCCAGGCUGGAGUGCAAUGGCGCCAUCUCGGCUCACCACAACCUCCGCCUCCUGGGUUCAGGCAAUUCUCCUGCCUCAGCCUCCUGAGUAACUGGGAUUACAGGCACGCGCCACUGUGCCCAGCAAAUUUUUUGUAUUUUUAGUAGAGACGGGGUUUCACCAUGUUGACCAGAAUGGUCUCCAUCUCUUGAUCUCGUGAUCCACCCGCCUCGGCCUCCCAAAGUGCUGGGAUUACAGGCUUGAGCCACCGCGCCCAUUUGGGAGUUCUUAGGCCUCCUUUCUGUGUUUGGAGUCCCCUGACCUAAGAGCACCGUGUCAGCCUAGGACAGCUCCCUGCACACAGGCCAACUGGGAGCUGGACCCGGGGGACAGAUGCGUGUAGUGACAGAUGGACCCGGGUGACAGAGGCCAGGCCCUACAAUAGCCUGGGUCCCAGCCCCCAUUCACACCCUGCCCAGAGUGACCCCGGCCUCUCCGGUGGGCCUUGGGGUAUCUUAUUCCCUGGCACAAAAGUGACAUCUGUCCUGGUGUGGGGAUCAUCCUGGUGGGCAGAGGCAGAAACCCACUGAGUAGGACCUUGGCCAGUCCAGACGAGCGAAUGAAUGCCAGGGUGACCCAACUGGGUGUGAACACAAGUGUGAGUUCUGUCCAGUUCUUGCAAGAGAGUGGGGGCCCUGUCCAGCUUGGGUGUGUGAGUGUGGUAUGUGUGUGCACAGCCUGGCCUGGGUGAGCCCGGUGCCUGGCACAGAGUGGGGCCUGUGGUUGUUGAGUGAAGAAAUGUUAACACGGACACACUUCGGGGCCCUUCAGAUUGGUGGCCCAGCCCAGGGAAACUCCUCACAAAGGCCUCUGCCGGGGAAGGGCUGCCUGGGCUUCCUUAGUGGGUGACACUGGGUGGGCCUGUGGCAAAGCCCUCCUGCCUCGCACACGCCGGCCUUGUGUGAGUGGUCCCGUGACAGGGAAGUGAAGGAAAGGGGUGAAUUGUAGGCCGUGAGUGUGGGGCAGGCACUCUGUCUGCCCACUGAAGCAGUGCAGUAGGAACUGGUGCUCAGAGGCAGACACAUGAAAGAAAAGUGUGUAAGUGAUCAGAGUGAGGCCAAUUCUCCCAGAAUCUCAAGGGCAGGUGCCCCGCAUCUCUACCAUGUCAGUUUCAGGGCCCCCAGGACUUUGAUUUGCUGCUAACUCUGAAAUCUUUGAACGUUUUCUUUGUCAGUAGCUUCUUCUCUAGAGUGUCGAUGGGAGUGAGCAGGGGAGCCACAGGGUGACGGGUGAGGGGACAUGGAUGCUAGCCUGGGUCCUGGAUGGGCAUGUGCCUUUUGGAAGAAGCCAUGGCCACUUCCUUGGGACCAGGGUCUGCACACACAGACACAGUUGUGGGGCUCAGGGACAGUGGGUAUGAGGGAGCAUGGAGGACCCCUGCCCUCUGCACUCACCACCCUCUUUCUGGGCUGCCACUCCCUUCUCAGUCAUCCAUCCUUGGAAGAGGGUAGAGUCUCUCUCUGGACAGAGUCCAAGGGAUUAGAGCCACACCAUGGGGAGCACACCAGCUAAAUGCAGGUCACUUGUGCUGACCCUUCAAAGGCUGAAAGCCAAGAGAGCUACUGCCUUGGAUAGAGAAUCUUGGGGCCUGGCUCCCAUUUCCUCUGGUUGAGGCUCCCUUCAUUUAAAUAAUCACCCCACCUCUUUACCCUUCAGGCUCCACCCUCUCCCUGCAUCUGAGGUGUCCUUCCUGGCUGGGGCCUGGGGUGGAGGGAUCACCCCCUUUCUCCCUCCACCCUGUAACCAUCCUGCUUGCUGAGACAUAGCUCCAAUUCUGCACCACACACUUCCCAUUCUCCCUUGUCUAAUAUUUCCCUGGUUAUACAGCUUACGCAUGCUCAUGGCAGGAAACAUGGGAAAUUCGGAAAGCAUGGAAUCGGGAACAAAGUUAGGCCUAAACCCGGCACUUAGAGAUACACACCUGCUUGUCUGGAACAUUCGACAGUUGCAGGGUGCUCUUGACUUGUGACAGCGCUUUCUGUCCUCAUCGCAUGGGUGUUCUCCCUCAGCUCUACCAACAGGCAGCCGCCACUGAUUUCUUCCUCUCACAGCCGGGGAAGCUGAAGCAGAGAGCUGUGGCCACUUGUCCCUUGUCCCAAGGCGCAUGGUCUCAGGCUCCUCAGUACACUGUCCACUGAGGCCUGACACCCCACUCCAUACCGUGGCCUGCUGCCUGCGCUGGGGCCAGUGAGCUUCUCAGCUUGGUGGGUACCCUUCCUAGUCCCCUGCCUGCACCUGGUCUGACUUUUGGGCUAGCCCUGAGCUUCACCCACCUCCUUCGGGGCCACUGCAGCCAGGAGUGGGGAGGGGGGCAGAUUUCAAUGGCGUGCCUCCUGGAAACCACAUCAAAUGGUGCAGCUAGGAAUUAAUAAAUAAACUUGGGAGACAAGUCAAUUACCCUCUGCCUGUGCCCCUGUCCCCCAGGGGCAGACAGCGGCAUGUGGUUCCCAGCCUCAGCAUGCCUUCCCGGGGGCAGGCCUAGCGUUGCAGCUGGCUUCCGUCAGAUUAGCCAGGCGAGAUGCGGCAGGCCUCUGUCCUCUGGGGAAAUGGCUCCCUUCCUGGGAGGUGGGGACAGCAUUCCUGGGUUUCUCUGUUACUGCCCUCUUUUUGCACCCGUCCCUGUCUUACUGUGUUCAUGGUGCCCAAAUCACUGCCCCCGCCAGUCCCCCGACACAAAGGCUUCUGGUUAGCCAUCAUGACGUCUGCAGCUCCGUCUUUAGAGCUGGAAACUGAUGUGACUGAGCCUCCAGAACAUGCCUGCUGAUGGCCCACACUGUGGGACUGCCCUGUUAGUGUCUUCCAGACUCAUCAGCACUAGCAUGAUCAUUUAAAAAUCAGACGACUACUUGUCGCUUCUGAAAACAUUUUUUUAGGGCUGGGCGCAGUGGCUCACAGCUGCAAUCCCAGCAGUUUGGGAGGUGGAGGCAGGAGGAUGGCUUGAGCCCAGAAAUUCGACACCAGCCUGCGUAACACAGUGAGCCCCAUCUCUAUAAAAUUUUAAAAAUAAUUAAUAAAAUUUAAAAAAUAGCUGAGUGUGGUGAUGCACGCUUGUAAUCCCAGCGAAUCAGGAGGCUGAGGUGGGAGGAUUGCUUGAGCCCAGGAGUUCGGGGCUGCAGUGAGCCAUGAUCGUGUAUUCUUCAAUAAGCUCCCCUGGAUUACAUGGGGUCAGUAGAAUCUGCUCCAGCCUGGGAGACAGAGCAAGACCCUGUCUCAAAAAAGAGGAAAAGAAAGGAAAAGAAAACAUCUAUUCACUCAGCAAAUUCUUAACAACACCUGCUUUGUGGCAGAGUUUUUGCUAGGUGGCAGAGGUACAGAGACAAGAGACACAGCCCUGCUCGUCUGGAGCUUACCGCUCUGUGGAGAAAUCAGACAAUACAGCUACCAUAGGGGGGACUUUGGGGGGGGAAGAGGGGAACCCAGCACAGCCUAUAGGGAUCCCCAAGAGGCUUCCGGAGGAGCUGAUACCUGAGCUGCAUUAUGAGGGACAAGUCGUGGGGGCUGGGGGCAGGAUGGCAACUGCUGUUCCAGACCCAGGGGACAGCUCUGCAAAGUCUCAGAAGCAGGGGAGUGAGGUGACGGGGGAGAGCUGGGAAGGGACUGGCUUGGCAGGAAGGUGGCUGCAGAGGGAGCAGGGUGAGAGCAGAGGCUGGGAGUGGGGACACGGCUGUGAGGGCCUAAGCUACAUGUAACUGUUACAUAUAGCUAUAUGCAACUAUCCGAGGUGUGUGUGUGUGUGUAGGGGCCAUGUAGACAAAGUGAUGGGAUUAUGGAUUCUUUUCAACUGUGUGUGUGUGUGUGUAUUGGGGGUGGGUUUUGUUUUCUAUGUAGAAACUAAGCAGCAGUCUUAGAAUUAUCAGAACAAUAUCAGGAAAGAAUGAGUCCCCUUCUGACAUUUAUUGUCACUGAAUUUUCUAUGGUUGCGUUAUCUAGGCACGUCCCUUAGAUCAACCAUUCUCAAGUUUCAGUGUGCAUGAUCGCUGGGGACAUUUAUUGAAAAUCUGGGUGUUUGGGAUUUGUCCUGGAGGUUUUGAUUCAGUAGGGACCAGCAUUGUGCAUUCUUCAACAAGCUUCCCUGGAUUACAUGGGGUCAGUAUAAUCUGCUUUGAUAAACUCAUUCCCAGAGCCUGAUUAUUUCCUCUCGGGGAAUUUGCUUGCAAUUCAGGAGUCUACCACCAGAUGGCAGUAGUGCUUUGUGAUGGAGCUAGGUAAAGCCAGUUUUCUGCUGGGGGAGAGUUAGAGUUGCUCAGCAGGCAGUUCUCCUUUAUUGCCACAAUGUGCAGAAAAUAACUCUUUUAGAUAAUUUCUAAAAUAAUUUGAUCAUGAAAUAUUAGAUAUCGGAACUUAAUUUUAAGGUUAAAUUUACCUUUCAAACAUUACAGCUGAGCUUUCCAAUAUGGUGACCACUAGCCACGAGUGGCUUUUGAGCACCUGAAAUGUGAUUGGUUAGUCUGAAUUGUGUGUGCUGAAAGUGUCAUGAACACAUUGGCUUUCAUUCUUCAGAAGUUCCUAUGAUUUAAAGACAAAAGUUAAAAAAAAACACACACUGACUUUCAAAAACAAUAAAAAAGAGAGUAAAAUCUAUUACUAUCAAGA